rnacentral:rRNA from 1 species
GACGUAGGAUGCAAGCGUUGUCCGGAUUUAUUGGGCGUAAAGAGUUCGUAGGUGGUUUGGUAAGUCUGAUGUUAAAGACUGGGGCUCAACCCUGGGACUGCAUUGGAUACUGCCAGACUGGAGUGCAGUAGAGGCAAGCGGAAUUCCAGGUGUAGCGGUGAAAUGCGUAGAUAUCUGGAAGAACACCGGUGGCGUAAGCGGCUUGCUGGGCUGUAACUGACACUGAGGAACGAAAGCCAGGGGAGCGAAUGGG